AAUAGAAGAAAGGUAGUAGUCUUAUCUUCGGGUAUUACUAUGUUAUAAUCUUUUAUUGAAUGAGUUACUUAAGAUUGAGGAAUUAAUGUACUCCUCUAUGGAUUGUGAUAUUAGGUUCAUGGAAGGGAUAAGGUAGCAGACUGUAACAGUGUGAUAUUUUAUUCAAUUCAUUAUACUUAGUAGCAAAUGCACAUUAGAGAUGUUGAUCUUUUUUAUAAAAGAAGAAGGAUUUAAUCGACCCGUCUUGUAACACGGACCAAGGAGUCUAACAUGUAUGCGAGUAAACUGAGUUUUAAAACUCAUCAUGCAAAAUGAAAGUAAAAUUAUGGUAGGAAUAGCUUCAUAAGGGGUUAUGCACUAUCAACCGACUUGGAUGGGGGCAACUCCUGAAAGGAUUGAGUAAGAGCAUUUAUGUUAGGACCCGAAAGAUGGUGAACUAUGCCUGAGUAGGGCAAAGUCAGAGGAAACUCUGAUGGAGGCGUCGAAGGGGUUCUGACGUGCAAAUCAUCUUC
rnacentral:rRNA from 1 species